AUUCUAAAGCAGUCCAGGUUCUGAGAUGCCAGGGGCUCCUCUAGUGGGUACUCUCUUUCCCUUGAGGACUCCCAUCAGCCUUGCCCAGACUAUCUUAUAACUGCAUUACAGUCUAAGGCUCAUUCUAUUCCAGUUUCCUUCCUUCCUUCCUUCCUUCCUUCCUUCCUUCCUUCCUUCCUUCCUUCCUUCCUUCCUUCCUUCCCUCCUUCCUUCCCUUUCUCCUCCACAAGAGUCAACUCUGCCCCUCCACGUGAUGACUUUCCUGGACUUUUUCAACACUCUUCCAUUAGCCUCUCACAGGUGUUCUCCCUCAAUAAAUCCCUUGUAUAUUUAAUCCCACCUGCAAUGUCACUGGGCUUUUGAAAACCAAGUGAGAAGACAAGUGUCUGUUGAUAGAAACCCUUCAGUAAAUGUUAACAUGUGAAAGCAAGUUAUCACAAAGCCUGAUAAGAGUUAUCUUAUCUAGAUGAUGAGAUAAAGCGUCCAUUAUUAGAGAAGAGCUCCAGCUAAAGCUGUGAAGGCAAUCAUGAAAUGAAGACUCACCAUUUUGCAGCAGUUCAUGAUCACCAAUAGAUGAAGCACUAGGUGAAAGGUUGAUGGGAAGCUUUAUAGCGGGGGAGGAGAGGAGAUCAGACUGCCACCUUCUGAAUUCAUUGAUCGGUCAUGCAUCACUAACCACGGGAUGUCUAGAGAUUGUAUACCUCCUGGUGUGAUAUGAUAUGAAGCUCACAGCACUACUGAUGAAGGAUUCCUGCAAAAAAAAAUAAUUGAACCUAAAUCUAAUAAAACGUGCAGGGUUAACUACCAUUUACGGGAAACACAAAGAAGAUGGAGAAACAAGCAAACACCAUAAGGAAACAAUUACAGAACAUGGAACAUUUUAUAUGCGGUUAACAGUUUCUGCAACAUGUCAAUGACUGGCACACGAAAAACUAAGAAAGAAAACCUCUAGAUUAAAAGAGAAUUCAGACAUAACCAUUAAAGGUAAUGAGUGGACCUUGUUUGGAUUCUGAUUUGAAUCAAUGAAAUGUAAUUGACAUUUUUGAGACACCUGGGAACAUUUUUUAUGGACUGGGUAUUACAGGAAACAAAGGAAUGACUGUUAACUUUAUUACAUGUGAUAAUGGCAUCUUGGUUACAUAAGUAAUGUUUUUAGAAAUGCCUUUUGAAUUAUGUACAGUGAAAUGACUUGAUGUCUGGAAUUUGCUUUAAAAUACUUCAAUGAAGAAGAAGAAAAAAGAAAGUAAAAAAGAAAUAACUGAAGCAAAUGUGG
rnacentral:lncRNA from 10 species